rnacentral:other from 2 species
GUUGCACUACGACGUUGGUGACUGCCCCCAAGUUUUUUGAUCUAUGUCUUUAAAAAUAAGGGAAUUAAAUUGUUCUUGUGGCAGUAAACCGAGCUUGUACUCGGAAACUUUAAACAAACGACAUCAGUUCCCACCUGGUUAACCCAGGUCAUAAACUUAGGUAAGACGGCGUUGUGGUGAACUC